rnacentral:piRNA from 1 species
UCUCAGUGCUGGAGACUUGACAUGGUAC